rnacentral:rRNA from 1 species
AGGUGCGAAAGCGUGGGGAGCAAACAGGAUUAGAUACCCUGGUAGUGCACGCCGUAAACGAUGUCGACUUGGAGGUUGUGCCCUUGAGGCGUGGCUUCCGGAGCUAACGCGUUAAGUCGACCGCCUGGGGAGUACGGCCGCAAGGUUAAAACUCAAAUGAAUUGACGGGGGCCCGCACAAGCGGUGGAGCAUGUGGUUUAAUUCGAUGCAACGCGAAGAACCUUACCUGGUCUUGACAUCCACGGAAGUUUUCAGAGAUGAGAAUGUGCCUUCGGGAACCGUGAGACAGGUGCUGCAUGGCUGUCGUCAGCUCGUGUUGUGAAAUGUUGGGUUAAGUCCCGCAACGAGCGCAACCCUUAUCCUUUGUUGCCAGCGGUCCGGCCGGGAACUCAAAGGAGACUGCCAGUGAUAAACUGGAGGAAGGUGGGGAUGACGUCAAGUCAUCAUGGCCCUUACGACCAGGGCUACACACGUGUUACAAUGGCGCAUACAAAGAGAAGCGACCUCGCGAGAGCAAGCGGACCUCAUAAAGUGCGUCGUAGUCCGGAUUGGAGUCUGCAACUCGACUCCAUGAAGUCGGAAUCGUUAGUAAUCGUGGAUCAGAAUGCCACGGUGAAUACGUUCCCGGGCCUUGUACACACCGCCCGUCACACCAUGGGAGUGGGUUGCAAAAGAAGUAGGUAGCUUAAC